rnacentral:rRNA from 1 species
AUUGAACGCUGGCGGCAUGCCUUACACAUGCAAGUCGAACGGUAACAGGUCUUCGGAUGCUGACGAGUGGCGAACGGGUGAGUAAUACAUCGGAACGUGCCCGAUCGUGGGGGAUAACGAGGCGAAAGCUUUGCUAAUACCGCAUACGAUCUACGGCUGAAAGCGUGGGCUCUUCGGAUCUCGUGCGGAAGGAGCGGCCGAUGGCUGAUUAGGUAGUUGGUGGGAUAAAAGCUUACCAAGCCGACGCUCUGUAGCUGGUCUGAGAGGAUGAUCAGCCACACUGGGACUGAGACACGGCCCAGACUCCUACGGGAGGCAGGAGUGGGGAAUUUUGGACAAUGGGCGGAAGCCUAAUCCAGCCAUGCCGCGUGCAGGAUGAAGGCCUUCGGGUUGUAAACUGCUUUUGUACGGAACGAAAAGCCUCUUUCUAAUAAAGAGGGGUCAUGACGGUACCGUAAGAAUAAGCACCGGCUAACUACGUG